rnacentral:misc_RNA from 1 species
UAAUAAAAAUCGGUAUGUUGCUUUUUUUGUGACGUUCCGGAAUUUGAGUUAUCUUAAUUUUUUAGUUUAAGAGGCUUAAAAUUGACCUUUUUUGCGCAUUUUUAGACGUACAUAAAUUUUUUUUUAUUCGUUUAUUCUAAUGCCAAAAUCUAUUAGAUGCGACCAUAUCAUGUGGUUUCGUGUCCAUAAAUUUUCAUG